AGAGUUUGAUCCUGGCUCAGGAUGAACGCUGGCGGCGUGCUUAACACAUGCAAGUCGAACGGUGAAGCCCAGCUUGCUGGGUGGAUCAGUGGCGAACGGGUGAGUAACACGUGAGCAAUCUGCCCCUGACUCUGGGAUAAGCGCUGGAAACGGCGUCUAAUACUGGAUAUGAACCGUGGAGGCAUCUUCAACGGUUGGAAAGAUUUUUUGGUCAGGGAUGAGCUCGCGGCCUAUCAGCUUGUUGGUGAGGUAAUGGCUCACCAAGGCGUCGACGGGUAGCCGGCCUGAGAGGGUGACCGGCCACACUGGGACUGAGACACGGCCCAGACUCCUACGGGAGGCAGCAGUGGGGAAUAUUGCACAAUGGGCGCAAGCCUGAUGCAGCAACGCCGCGUGAGGGAUGACGGCCUUCGGGUUGUAAACCUCUUUUAGCAGGGAAGAAGCGAAAGUGACGGUACCUGCAGAAAAAGCGCCGGCUAACUACGUGCCAGCAGCCGCGGUAAUACGUAGGGCGCAAGCGUUAUCCGGAAUUAUUGGGCGUAAAGAGCUCGUAGGCGGUUUGUCGCGUCUGCUGUGAAAUCCCGAGGCUCAACCUCGGGUCUGCAGUGGGUACGGGCAGACUAGAGUGCGGUAGGGGAGAUUGGAAUUCCUGGUGUAGCGGUGGAAUGCGCAGAUAUCAGGAGGAACACCGAUGGCGAAGGCAGAUCUCUGGGCCGUAACUGACGCUGAGGAGCGAAAGGGUGGGGAGCAAACAGGCUUAGAUACCCUGGUAGUCCACCCCGUAAACGUUGGGAACUAGUUGUGGGGUCCAUUCCACGGAUUCCGUGACGCAGCUAACGCAUUAAGUUCCCCGCCUGGGGAGUACGGCCGCAAGGCUAAAACUCAAAGGAAUUGACGGGGACCCGCACAAGCGGCGGAGCAUGCGGAUUAAUUCGAUGCAACGCGAAGAACCUUACCAAGGCUUGACAUAUACGAGAACGCUGCAGAAAUGUAGAACUCUUUGGACACUCGUAAACAGGUGGUGCAUGGUUGUCGUCAGCUCGUGUCGUGAGAUGUUGGGUUAAGUCCCGCAACGAGCGCAACCCUCGUUCUAUGUUGCCAGCACGUAAUGGUGGGAACUCAUGGGAUACUGCCGGGGUCAACUCGGAGGAAGGUGGGGAUGACGUCAAAUCAUCAUGCCCCUUAUGUCUUGGGCUUCACGCAUGCUACAAUGGCCGGUACAAAGGGCUGCAAUACCGUAAGGUGGAGCGAAUCCCAAAAAGCCGGUCCCAGUUCGGAUUGAGGUCUGCAACUCGACCUCAUGAAGUCGGAGUCGCUAGUAAUCGCAGAUCAGCAACGCUGCGGUGAAUACGUUCCCGGGUCUUGUACACACCGCCCGUCAAGUCAUGAAAGUCGGUAACACCUGAAGCCGGUGGCCCAACCCUUGUGGAGGGAGCCGUCGAAGGUGGGAUCGGUAAUUAGGACUAAGUCGUAACAAGGUAACC
rnacentral:rRNA from 1 species